UACGAAGGGGGCUAGCGUUGUUCGGAAUUACUGGGCGUAAAGGGCGCGUAGGCGGUCUUGUAAGUCCUGUGUGAAAUCCCUCGGCUUAACUGAGGAACUGCACGGGAUACUGCGAGACUUUGAGAUCGGGGAGAGGUGAGUGGAACUGCGAGUGUAGAGGUGAAAAUUCGUAGAUAUUCGCAAGAACACCAGUGGCGAAGGCGGCUCACUGGCCCCGGUACUGACGCUGAGG
rnacentral:rRNA from 1 species